rnacentral:rRNA from 1 species
CACCAGACUCCUACGGGAGGCAGCAGUGGGGAAUAUUGCACAAUGGGGGAAACCCUGAUGCAGCAACGCCGCGUGAGUGAAGAAGUAUUUCGGUAUGUAAAGCUCUAUCAGCAGGGAAGAGAAUGACGGUACCUGACUAAGAAGCCCCGGCUAACUACGUGCCAGCAGCCGCGGUAAUACGUAGGGGGCAAGCGUUAUCCGGAUUUACUGGGUGUAAAGGGGGCGCAGACGGCGAUGCAAGCCAGGAGUGAAAGCCCGGGGCCCAACCCCGGGACUGCUCUUGGAACUGCGUGGCUGGAGUGCAGGAGGGGCAGGCGGAAUUCCUGGUGUAGCGGUGAAAUGCGUAGAUAUUAGGAGGAACACCAGUGGCGAAGGCGGCUUACUGGACUGUAACUGACGUUGAGGCUCGAAAGCGUGGGGAGCAAACAGGAUUAGAUACCCCAGUAUUG